rnacentral:sRNA from 1 species
UUAACAUCCCUUGAGACUGAACUCUUAUAUUUGUCUCCAGAACAGGUACUGCACAGACAGCAGUAUAGCAAGCUUCUCUGCAUUAUCUUGUUAGUAGGCCUUCAUUCUGACAAGGAGGUACCACCUCUAGAGAUGAAAGAGAAAUGAAUUUUCCAUUCCUUUGUCUCUGUAAUGAG